AACAGGUGUUAAGAGGAAGAGAGGAGCAAGCAUAUAUAUAUGGCACUCCAGGAAGAUGAAGCUUGCUUUGCUGUGACUAAAGAGAACUUGUAAGGAAGCCUGUGUCCAUAGAUUGUCAUGGUAGCUCGCAACCUUUACUUUCUUUACGUGUGUCAAGUAAUUCCAGGGAGUAGACGUGUAUGCAGCUGUAGUCUGGGAGGUCUGAUGUUAGGGAAAAAGAAGGAGGAAAGCAAGAUUAAAAAUCAUUCCUGGAAAUGCAAGAGAAAAUGUGCUGGAGUGGUGCUGUUAGUACCAGGGACACUGGACAAGAAAGAUAAGCAAGCCACUGCUGUCUGAUUCCUACAUAGCAGGUUAAAGUGUUGGAUUCAUAAUUCUCACUUCAGGAAGACUGAAAACCAGACUUUAUUCUGCUAGAUCCCAAGAUAUCAAGGAAGAGGAAAAGGGAAGAGCCCCAGGCACUAUUAAACCACAGCUACAAUCACUGCCAUUUGAAACUUCCCACCAAACAACUUUACUAUUCUGAUUUAAUUUCAACUCCCAGGGAGAGUUAGUAUUAAGAGGAAGUACCUAUCAUCCAUGAUAAUCCACCAGCUCUGGGGGUUUAGAAGGGAAAGGAUGGAGGUCUCAGUGCUUGAGGC
rnacentral:lncRNA from 10 species